rnacentral:rRNA from 1 species
UACGUAGGGCGCAAGCGUUGUCCGGAAUUAUUGGGCGUAAAGAGCUCGUAGGUGGCUUGUCACGUCGGGUGUGAAAGCUUGGGGCUUAACUCCAGGUCUGCAUUCGAUACGGGCUGGCUAGAGGUAGGUAGGGGAGAACGGAAUUCCUGGUGUAGCGGUGAAAUGCGCAGAUAUCAGGAGGAACACCGGUGGCGAAGGCGGUUCUCUGGGCAUGAUCUGACGCUGAGGAGCGAAAGUGUGGGGAGCGAACAGG